rnacentral:rRNA from 1 species
AACGGCCCACCAAGGCGACGAUCAGUAGGGGUUCUGAGAGGAAGGUCCCCCACAUUGGAACUGAGACACGGUCCAAACUCCUACGGGAGGCAGCAGUGAGGAAUAUUGGUCAAUGGGCGAGAGCCUGAACCAGCCAAGUAGCGUGCAGGAUGACGGCCCUAUGGGUUGUAAACUGCUCUUAUAAGGGAAUAAAGUGAGUCUCGUGAGACUUUUUGCAUGUACCUUAUGAAUAAGGACCGGCUAAUUCCGUGCCAGCAGCCGCGGUAAUACGGAAGGUCCGGGCGUUAUCCGGAUUUAUUGGGUUUAAAGGGAGCGUAGGCCGGAGAUUAAGCGUGUUGUGAAAUGUAGACGCUCAACGUCUGCACUGCAGCGCGAACUGGUUUCCUUGAGUACGCACAAAGUGGGCGGAAUUCGUGGUGUAGCGGUGAAAUGCUUAGAUAUCACGAAGAACUCCGACUGCGAAGGCAGCUCACUGGAGCGCGACUGACGCUGAAGCUCGAAAGUGCGGGUAUCGAACAGGAUUAGAUACCCUGGUAGUCCGCACGGUAAACGAUGGAUGCCCGCUGUUGGUCUGAAUAGGUCAGCGGCCAGGCGAAAGCAUUAAGCAUCCCACCUGGGGAGUACGCCGGCAACGGUGCAACUCAAAGGA